CCACCGCUAUUGGAGUCCGCUUAAGACAUGCGAGUCGAGGGAAUUAGAUCCCGGCAUACUGCUCAGUAACACGCGGACAAUCUGCCCUUGGGUGGGGGAUAAUCUCGGGAAACUGAGCAUAAUACCCCAUAGGCCACGGAUGCUGGAAUGCUUCGUGGCUAAAAGCUCCGGCGCCCAAGGAUGAGUCUGCGGCCUAUCAGGUUGUAGUGGGUGUAACGGACCCACUAGCCAGCGACGGGUACGGGCGUUGGGAGACGUCGCCCGGAGAUGGAUUCUGAGACACGAAUCCAGGCCCUACGGGGCGCAGCAGUCGCGAAAACUUGUCAAUGCGGGAAACCGCGAACAGGGGAGUCCAAGUGCAUGCGCAUUGCGUAUGCUGUUCACCUGCCUAAAAAGCAAGUGAAGUAAGGGCUGGGUAAGACAGGUGCCAGCCGCCGCGGUAAUACCUGCAGCCCGAGUGGUGGUCGAUAUUAUUGAGCCUAAAGCGUCCGUAGCCGGUCUAGUAAACCCUUGGGUAAAUCGGGCAGCUUAACUGUCCGAAUUCCGAGGGGACUGCUAGACUUGGGACCGGGAGAGGUCAGAGGUACUCCAGGGGUAGGGGCUAAAAUCGAGUCGGCUUUCAAAUGAUUGUGCGAUUCGUUUGGCAUUCCUGUAAUCCUUGGGGGACCACCAGUGGCGAAGGCGUCUGACUAGAACGGAUCCGACGGUAAGGGACGAAACCCUGGGUCGCAAACCGGAUUAGAUACCCGGGUAGUCCAGGGCGUAAACGCUGCAGCUUGGUGUUGGGGGUCCUACGAGGGCGCCCAGUGCCGGAGUGAAGAUGUUAAGCCUGCCGCUUGGGGUGUACGUCCGCAAGGAUGAAACUUAAAGGAAUUGGCGGGAGAGCACAGCAACGGGAGGAGCGUGCGGUUCAAUUGGAUUCAACGCCGGAAAACUCACCGGGAGCGACGGUUACAUGAAGGUCAAGCCGAUGACUUUACCUGAUUUUCCGAGAGGUGGUGCAUGGCCGUCGUCAGUUCGUACCGUAAGGCGUUCUGUUAAGUCAGAUAACGAACGAGACCCUCGCCCUUAAUUGCUAGUUCAUUCUCCGGAAUGGGCGCACAUUAAGGGGACCGCUGGCGCUAAGCCAGAGGAAGGGGAGGUCAACGGUAGGUCAGUAUGCCCCGAAUCUCCCGGGCUACACGCGCGCUACAAAGGACAGGACAAUGGGCUGCAACACCGAGAGGUGAAGCCAAUCCCGAAACCUGUUCGUAGUUCGGACUGAGGGCUGUAACUCGCCCUCACGAAGCUGGAUUCCGUAGUAAUCGCGGAUCAACAUCCCGCGGUGAAUAUGCCCCUGCUCUUUGCACACACCGCCCGUCAAACCAUCCGAGUUGGGUCUGAGUGAGGGUGCUCUUUUUGGGGCGCUCGAACUUGGGUUCAGCAAGGGGGGUU
rnacentral:rRNA from 1 species